CCCUUAGAUGUUCUGGGCCGCACGCGCGCUACACUGAUGCAUUCAACGAGUCUAAAACCCGGUCUGAGAGGGCUGGGUAAUCUUUUGAAAGUGCAUCGUGAUUGGGAUAGAUGAUUGCAAUUCUUCAUCUUCAACGAGGAAUGCCUAGUAAACGCAAGUCAUCAGCUUGCAUUGAUUACGUCCCUGCCCUUUGUACACACCGCCCGUCGCUCCUACCGAUUGAACGAUCCGAUGAAAACUGUGGAUUGAGAGUCUGAGUGGGUUCGCCUACCUCAACUUUCGAGAAGCGGUUUAAAUCUUAUCGUUUAGAGGAAGGAGAAGUCGUAACA
rnacentral:rRNA from 1 species